GACCGCCCACCGAACGGCCGGCAGGCGACCCGCGUCGGUCGCGUGAGGUGGUUGUUAUGUAUGGUUACCCAGAGGCCGGUUCUUGUGUUGCCUACCCCCUCAGGGGGAGCGCAGUUCCACCGAGCCCUCGUCGGCCGCGUGGCCUACGAGGACGUGUGAUGCUCUCGGACGCAGGGCACGCCGUGGGCAGGGACUCUCUCCCCGGCCCCAAGAGAAGCUCCCAUGCAAUCGCAUGACGGCCGCCCCUGACCCUCGACCGCCCCGGCGGUGCGAGGGCGGGCGGCGUCGCGGAGGAAUGCUACCUGGUUGAUCCUGCCAGUAGUCAUAUGCCUGUCUCAAAGAUUAAGCCAUGCAUGUGAA
rnacentral:misc_RNA from 1 species